ensembl:lncRNA
GGGUGUGGAGUCCUGCUCAUUCUGCAGUUCAUGUGAUGAAUAUUUCUGUUCAACUGCUGAGUGACUCAGAAAUGAACUAAAUUUCAAUUCUGAUUAGAACUGGAUGUACACAUCUGAAAAGUGAGUGCAUUACGACUGUCAAGUUUAUUGCUGAAAAGUAACUUUUGCCUUUUACGAAUCUCAGUUUAUUUGACCAUAAUUGAUUUUUAUUCCUUUCAUUUUUUUUUUCCAGUGUGUUGCUUUUGGAUGAUGAAUAUCGAUCAAGUGCUGUGUGAGGUAAGCUGUUACUUGGUGUGCAGUUCUUUCUCCAGGUAGCUUGUUUGCUUUACCUCACAACUCCUAUCAGCCCAGCCUGUAGCCUAUGUUAGAACAGAAACUAAAUAUCACUUCUUUAACAUCUGUAUAUUAAAAGCAGUUUGUGUUAGCAGUGGUAGACAGCAAUACUUGUUUCAGCUGGUGUUGAAUGCUGCAGGGCAUUCAUGAUUGAAGAUGAACCAACUGUGGUUGAUGUUGGGUGCUCCCUGGAGCCUUGUGCUCCUAGUGGAGAUGUCAGUACUGAUGGCUCAGGCAGUUGCAGCAUCUGAUCAACUGCCCUGUGGUAAAACUGCAGGAGGAAGGAAUGUCAGGAGGUGGUCUUGGAUGUUACUGCUAAAGCUGUGGAGCUUCUCACAAAGGGAUGAUCUGUGUGUUAUCAGAUGUUAUCAGACCUUCCGGAGGGUCUAGGAAAUAGGGUAGAAGAAAAACUUGAGGGUUACUUUUUAACAGGGGGAGCCAAGAGGUACAGCUACACCAGUAAUGAAAAUAAGCAUGUUUCCUUGUAAGAUCAAACUGGGGCAUCUGCUUUCAGCUUUUGUUGCAGUAAAGCUACUGGAGUAGAUGAUGUGUCAACUCAACACAGUGUAUAUUGUUCUUACAACAGUAUCUGAUAGUCAUACUGAGCUUGCUGUGCCUGUUACCGUAGCCCAAAUCAUACCUGUCUCUUAAAAACAGGAGGCCCAGUAAUGGAUGGUGACAGUUAUGGAGUAAGUAUAUAGUUGACUGAGAAAUACCUUUACUUCUGUGUGCUCUUCAAAUACUGUUUCAAAAACAGUGAAAAAUAAGAGGGAAGCAGAUGCAUUCUGUUUCAGCACGUGUUCAGUUUUUGUCUGGUGCUGUAGACAAAAACCUGGAACCUGGUGCUUAGAAAAACACCUUCUUUCGCAACCCACAGCUGAUGCAUGUAUUGGCUGUGUUACUUAUAUGAAGGGACAGUGCUUAUAUUUAUUCAAGCAGUAAUUAAUUCAAAGGGCUCAUUUCUUAUUGCAUGUGCAGAAAUGUAGGAAGGAAACAAUGCAACUGGACUACAUCUUUUCUAGCUCUGCAGCAAUGAGCUAUUGUAACCGUUUUGAUCUGUUUGAAUUCUUCCAGCUGGUGCACAGAUCUGUUACUUCCAUGUGCUCCUGUGGAAUACACUGGUUAAGGAGGUAUGCUUUGUUUCUGCUGAGUUCUGGCAUGAGAGAACUUGGGUCUGUGCCUUCUCAGAGAGGCUUUGGUGGAGCUUGACAAACACAGCAGGGGGAACUGUUAGACAAGUGAUGUGAUAAAAGUGCAAUUAAGUUGAUGUUGUUCUUUAAUGUUUCUUGAAGUGGAGGAAUAUCUGAGGAAGUUUUUUUCCUAUGGGGCGGUUGUUGUGUGAGGACUGUAAGCUGAAGGUUUAGCUGUUCUGUGGUUUUUUUCCCCAAAGAAAUAUUUCAUGUGGAAGGACAAAGCCAGUUCCCAGAAGGCAGUUAGUGAUGUGUCCAUGUUAGAGAUGAUUGGCUGGGCUUUACUACAAGCUGUUCUGCAGGUGUAGUGAAGAGUUAAUUGUUACGCCUUGUUAUUCAGCAGGUAGACACAACUCCAUGUGUGUCUCAAUUGAAGAACGGGGCUAGAAGAGCAACAGGUUGUGCUUUCCUCACUGUAACACCCAUUGCAGUGGUGACAAUGAGACCUGUAACAGGUUUACGUAGUGAGAGAAUUGCGCAAACGUGGUUCCAAAUGUAGUUACUCUUUAAAGUCUGAAGGAUUGGCAUGUUUGGCGUUGUGAAUUCGUGAAUUCAUAGAAUCACAAGGUUGGAAAGGACCCACAACCUUUCAGUCCAACCAUCCUAUCACCAUUACUAUCCACUAAGCUACUAAACCAUAUCUUGCAGCAUUCUGCAUCCUGCUGGCUGUGGGAAGUAGAAGAAAAACACACAGUGCUGAAUUCUGUAAAUAGUUCAUCAGAGCACACUUAGAAGCUGUCUUAAGGUGCUGUCUUACAGUUUCUUUACACCACAGUGCCAGCUGAUGUAGGUAACACUCUCAUGAGCACCAUCUGUGCCAUAGUGCUUUGAUUUCUGCAGUGUGGGUGGAUUUGGUUGAUAGUUCUGUGACAGACUGAUCCUGAAAGAAGUGCUGCUUAUUCAAUGUUAAGAGUACUUGAAAUUACUAAAAUGCUGAAGAAACUUAAAACUGUUAAUCAGAUACUGUCAUCUACUCUUCUUUUCAGCAAGCCCACGUGACAGUGCAGACCAGAGGAGUGCCUUGGUGGCAGGUGAUGAGGAAAUGAGAGAAGAAAUGCAGAAAGCCACUUGACAGAGACAGGAGCUCCCUUAUAGGUACUGGCUCAUGCAUUUGAUAUAAAUGGAAAAAAAAAGAUUCAAAUGGAAAAGCUUGGUGCCUUGGGAUACACAACAGUCAGUUGGCUGUGGAAGAGGAAACAAAGUGUUGGACAGAGUCUGCUGCUGUCACUGAAUGGCAGGGGGUGAGAAGUUGUACCUGAGUGCUGCCACAGUAAGUCUGUAGGUCCUGAUGUGAUGUUGCUGCAAGUCUCUUGCAAGAAAGAAAAGGACAGCUCUUAAAUGCUCUUAAACACUCCUAUUUCUUGUAAUAAUUGAGAAUGUUAAAUAUUUUAACUUCACUGCCCUGUAAGUUGAAUUAGUGGAUCAAGGUGUGGUUGUACUAGGAAAGGGUUAUCAACUGUGUUCCAACUGUUCAAGUGUGGAGAGGGGGCUGUUUACUUCAUACAGAAUGUAACAUUCAAAUAAAACUGAUUCCUGAAAGAAGCAGCUGCAGCCAGGGAAUUAUUUUGUACUGCUACACUGCAAGCCAACACAGGUGUAAAGCUAAAGCAGGGAUUUAGCUUUAGCUAAAUCUUAAAUGCUAAAGCCUCUAGAAAAACAGACAGUAAAGGUGAGAGAGCCUGCACACUGCAACUAGCCCUCUUCCUUCAGCUCUUUGUCCUGUACUGUUUGUUUAGGGGGAGUUGUAACAGUUUGGGUCUCUUCAGCAAUUGCAGUACCUCUAACUACAGUGGGGACUGAAAUGUAUGUUUAAUUAUUCUAUGCUACCUCAGAACUGCUGUAUUUUAAAAUUGGGCAGACCUGAUGGAAAUGCAGAUUCAUGGAUUUCAGGUGUUCUACCUACUGCUACAACAAUCAGCCUUGUGUUCUAAGCUACAGUGUUAACUUGUGCUCUUCUGCCCUUAUUCUAUGACAGUAUUUGCUUUCUGC